ACAAUUGAAUUUAAUACAAUUCAAAUCAAUACAUAUCAUUUCCCAUCUCAUACUACUAUUCUAACACCUAGAAAUGGCUAAUCUACACAACACCGAUGAAUCUGAAGUCUGAAAACCCUAGAAUUUGCCUCAGCAGUCGAGAGAGAGAGAUUUGUUCGUUUGUUUCACUUUCUGUUCCAGAAAGAAAGAUAUAAAGCCAAAUGGGUGGCUGGUAUUUAUACAUUGGGAAUCCAAGUUACGAAACGGGAACGUUUACACAAUUUAAACACUUGCACGGCGUCGUAUUAGUCCUCCACAUAGAAAGUACAAAACAGUUUUAGAAUUUCCCAUCAACUACUACGAUUCCGAUUUUGCUUUGGCUCUGUUUUGCAAUGGGUUCAUCAGAAUCAACCCUUUUAAGCUCAAAGGUUGUCUCUUUUCGAUUCAUGUUCAAUUUUCUGUGUGUUUUUCAAAACAAUUAUUUCUUUACUUGAUAAAUUUGCCAAUAUUGUUGUUGUAAAAACUUUUGCAUUUUAUUUUAUGUACGUCAAGGGGGCGGUUGAUGAGAUCACCACUGUCUCUGAGCGAUUCCAAGGCGCAGAUCCCAUCCUAGAGAGGCUCAGAUCCCUCAAAAUUGCAACUCCCAUACUGACGGCAUUGCCAACCGAGACUAGCUUGACAGAUAUGCUAGUGAGGAAACCUUCAUCCUCUUCUGCUGCUUCCGAAAGUGUUUGAUGAGCCAAUUAUUGGCAUUCUGCUUCCUAUGGAUGAAAUAGGUACAGUAAAUCCAAAAGUACUGCUGGAGCUCUUCUCAGUGCACCGUGAUUGGCAGGAGGCAAAGGCCCAGAAGAUUAGAAGAAAUAGAAAACAAGAUAGAAGUUGCAGAUGCUUUGGUGGUUAAACUUCUUCAACGUCUUAAUUAUUCAGUCUCGACAAUGAAGGCUUCUUCACAUCAUCUAUCAGAAGUUCAUGCAUUGAAAGUUGAACUUGGGGAGCUGAAGGGAAGGUUGACUGAGGUGAUUAGUAACUGUGAUGCAUUAUGCAGGAGAAUCAACUCAGAGGGACCAGAAUCACUCAGAUCAUCUGUCAAGCCAUUUUCAUCAGUGACCCCUACUGACUUAGAAACCAGCUCUAGUUUGCCUCAUCUACCAUUGAAGCCAAGUUAAGACUAAUGUGCACACUUUUUCUUUUGGGCCAAGCUUCUCUCCGGUCUAAACUGAUUCUUUAAUAUCAUUAUCACAUUUGUCUUCAAAAAACUAGAUGAUGAGUAUGAUUUUGAAAAUGGAUGGUUCAUUUUCGAAUACAAAUAUGAUGAAAUCAGGUGGGAGUCAAUUCCAUCAACAUGGGCAUGUCAUCAAAAUGAGACCUGUGGUAAGUCCACAAUUUUGAACUGCACAGAGAAUUCAUCUCCCUUUUUUUUUCCCUCUCCCAUGUAAAUUUUUCCAAGAAUUGACAAUCAUAAUUGUGAAAAUUGAGAUUACAGAUCCUGGCUGGCUAGUGCAGUUUGUUUCUUCAUGCA